rnacentral:rRNA from 1 species
GAUGAACGCUGGCGGCGUGCUUAACACAUGCAAGUCGAACGGACAGACGCGGAGUUUGCUCGUCUCUCGUUAGGCGCAGGGGGGUGAGUCACGUGUGUAACACGCCCUUGACUGUGUGAGAACAUCUGGGGAAUCCGGCUAAUAUCGGGUAGAAUCUCCUGCUGCGCGUUGUUCAAUAGAGAAUUGCGGCGUUUGGGUAACGACUCGAGGCUUAUCAGCUGGUUGGUCGGGUAGUUGCUUACCAGGGCUUUGACGGGUAGGCGGCCUGAGAGGUUGACCGGCCACCAUGGGCCUGAGAGACGGACCAGAAGCGUAGGGGCGGCAGCAGUGGAGAGUAUUGCACAAUGGGGGGAAGCCUGAUGCAGCAACGCCGCGUGCGGGAUGACGGCUUUCGGGUUGUAAACAGCUUUCGAAGGUGACGAAGAGUGAGUGACGGUAAUGGGUAAAGAAGCCACGGCUAACUACGUG